ensembl:lncRNA
UUUCAAAGUUCUCCUUUGUAAUAUUUAUUAUAUUCAAAAGCUAUUGCAAGAUAAAACAUCACACAUACAUUAUGUACAUUAUUAUAUAAACUAUUUUACUUAUUUGCAAAAAUAGGGCUAUCCUAGAGCAACCAGUAAGUAAAGCAAACCACAGUAACACCCAACAGCAUUAAUUUCAGUGAUAGCACAUCUGCACUAAAAGCAUCGUUCUCCCUUCUCAGUGUAUGCUUUCUGAGUAAGAUCAAGAAAGGAUUCUGAUGGUUUUAACUCUAUCCUAAAGCAAGAUGAUCACUAAAUCAGAUAAACUAUUAAUCUGUUUAAAGCUUGUUACUCCUGUUUUGCCAAGGCUGAGAUGCUUUGCAGCAAAAAAAAGCAGCCAGGACUCUUCAUGCCAAGAAUCAGACAUCUCAUACAUGUUUCAUAAACAUUUCUCCACUGAAAACUCAAUGAUUAAGCAAACACUAGUUCAAUUUGCAAAAGCUUCCACUAAUGAUUUUUAAAUAACUCAGAAAGAAAUCUUGGCCCCAUUUAAAGCAACAGCAAAUUUUACCUCUAUCCUUUAGCAACAAUACAAACCCUCUCAAAUUUAUGUCAUGCCAGUGCACUGAAUAUGCUGAUAACUAUUUUUGCUACAACUGUUAAACUCCUAAAUACCUAGAUAUAUGGUUUUUUACUAUUAAGUACAAUCUCCUUAAAAUUGGUAUGUUAAUCCAUGCUUACACCCUCAUUGACUGUUCAUAGAAAAUAUUCACUUCAAGAAACUAAGGUUUCAUAAAAAAGCUUUGCCAUUUAUAACAUAACAUCACCACACCCUAAGAUUUUGUGUGAAAUAGAUCAGCUCUCAAGUAAGCACCUUUUAUAGCAAGAUGGAAAACCUUUCCACAGAAUAGCAAAAUUGUGUCUGAAAGAAUGUUGAUAAAGAGUCCUCCUUUACUUAGAAAAUAAUGAAUUGCAUGCAAGAAUAUUAAUAAAUACCAUACAGAUUUGCUUUUCAAGUAUGCUGGAAUGCCAAUAUGGAAUAUUAAAACACACUAAGAAAUAGGCUUAUGGCCUGUAAUGCAUUAUGAGCAUAAUCACUGUCUUGCACCUCACACAACUGGGAGCUCAGUGGAGAGAAGAUAAAGAGAUAUUUUCCUUUCCAGGCAAUGAAGUGGCAAGAGAGCUGCUCACAAACAGCCACUGGGUGAGUUCAGUAGCCUCUGCUGCUGUAAUGAUGCACAGAUGUAGGUGCAGCUGGAAGGGCUUGAAGGGCUGGCACAGCACUUGGUGGACCACUUCCAGCCCCGGCAACACAGAGCUCAGCUGAGAAAUCUGCCUUCUGCUUCCCCAACAUGAGGGACUCUCCUUUAAGGACAGAUGACCCUGUAGAGAUUCAGCUGCAAAAGGACACACCAUGCUCAUGAAGUAGAGAAGAUCAUAUGCCAUUUAAUUAUCACAAGCUAUGUAAGCUCUGUAGUGGCUACGUGAAUGUCACUAUAUUAAUUAAUGUGGAACACAUCACCUGAAGGGCAAAUAUUAAAAAAUAUUUAAUGUGUGUGUACUAUAUCUAUAUAUCAAACAUGCCCUGUGUGCAUAUAUGUGCACAUUUUGGUAAAAAGUACUUACACUCACAGCUGUAAACAAAAAAAAAAAGAAAAAAAAAACACUUACUUGUUAUGAAUGUUCUUUGUCCUCUUUAUAUUUUGUAGUUUGCAAGCAUGAAAACACAGAAUUCACGUGGUUCUUUUUUCAUGCAAUGGUCUAAGACCUUCAGUCUUGCCCUUUAAAAUCAUAAAAUAUAUUCCUGAGCACAUACAUUCACAAGACAGAGGGCAGUGCUGCACUGCAGCAAUUGAGAUGGCUCUCAGAAAGCCUGGGCACCAGCAGCCAUGGCCUUACAGCAGUGCGAGUACCUCUGCUGGCUUGAGCAGAUGCCAUGUGCUGUGGUCAUGGCUGGACUGCUACUAGUGUGAAAAACAGGCUUGUUUGCCCAAAGUCACACUGCUGUGAGGCACAGGACUUUGCUGAACAAAUUUCCUUAAGGCUGAGGGGUACUUCAAAGCAAGCUGUGUGGUCCUUUAAUUGACAGCAUCAGCCAGAACAUCCAAAUACACCUCUCACUAGAAAUCACAAGUUAAUUUUUCUUCUCUGUUGGAAGUUGCAUGCAUUAAUUAGUCCAAAGAAAAUUAAUAUAGUCAAGAUUGCUUAAAAAAUGCAAGGUUUAUUUGAUUUAGGGGACAGAGAUAAAAUGCAAAAUAGUAUGCAUUCCACAGAAUUAAAGUCACUGAGUCAAAAAAUUGCAUGACAACGGAACUUGCUAAUGUUAAAUGUAUUUGUGUGCCUGUACAAAAUAGUAAAUAUAUGAAGUAGCUCUAAGAGUCCUCUCUGACAUCUUGGAUUUGUAAAGCAGCUUUUAUGAACAAUCUCUACCUAUCAUGGGUUUAACCCCAGCCAGCAACCAAGUUCCAUAUCUCUCUCA